rnacentral:rRNA from 1 species
CGGACGUGGAUAACCUGCCUCACACAGGGGGACAACAGCCGGAAACGGCUGCUAAUACCGCAUAACACAAGCAAUUCGCAUGAAUAGCCUGUCAAAGAUUUUAUCGGUGUGAGAUGGAUCCGCGUCUGAUUAGCCAGUUGGCGGGGUAACGGCCCACCAAAGCGACGAUCAGUAGCCGACCUGAGAGGGUGACCGGCCACAUUGGGACUGAGACACGGCCCAA